rnacentral:ncRNA from 1 species
CUCUUCAGGGCAGGGUGAAAUUCCCGAUCGGCGGUAAAGUCCGCGAGGUCUGACAUUCAGACCAUGACCCGGUGAAACUACGGGACCGACAGUAUAGUCUGGAUGGAAGAAGGG